CCUACGGGGUGCAGCAGUGGGGAAUAUUGCACAAUGGGGGAAACCCUGAUGCAGCGACGCCGCGUGAGUGAAGAAGUAUCUCGGUACGUAAAGCUCUAUCAGCAGGGAAGAAAAUGACGGUACCUGACUAAGAAGCCCCGGCUAACUACGUGCCAGCAGCCGCGGUAAUACGUAGGGGGCAAGCGUAAUCCGGAUUUACUGGGUGUAAAGGGAGCGUAGACGGCAGGACAAGUCUGGAGUGAAAUCCCGGGGCUUAACCCCGGAACUGCUGUGGAAACUGUGCGGCUGGAGUGCAGGAGGGGUAAGCGGAAUUCGUGGUGUAGCGGUGAAAUGCGUAGAUAUUAGGAGGAACACCGAUGGCGAAGGCAGCUUACUGGACUGUAACUGACGUUGAGGCUCGAAAGCGUGGGGAGCAAACAGGAUUAGAUACCCGAGUAGUC
rnacentral:rRNA from 1 species